rnacentral:rRNA from 1 species
UACGUAGGGUGCAAGCGUUAAUCGGAAUUACUGGGCGUAAAGCGUGCGCAGGCGGUUUUAUAAGUCUGUCGUGAAAUCCCCGGGCUCAACCUGGGAAUUGCGAUGGAGACUGCAAGGCUAGAAUCUGGCAGAGGGGGGUAGAAUUCCACGUGUAGCAGUGAAAUGCGUAGAGAUGUGGAGGAACACCGAUGGCGAAGGCAGCCCCCUGGGUCAAGAUUGACGCUCAUGCACGAAAGCGUGGGGAGCAAACAGG